UUGGUCAAUUCUUAAUUUUUUAUAAUGUAC
rnacentral:piRNA from 1 species